GCACUGUCUUGGAACCUCUGUGUGUCUGACCUGUGGCCUCAGGGUCUAGAGACAUUGCCAGAGCAGAUGGAGCUUGUUCACAUCCAGACAU
rnacentral:snoRNA from 1 species